rnacentral:rRNA from 1 species
AACGAACGCUGGCGGCGCGUUUUAAGCAUGCAAGUCGAACGGUAUACACCGCUUUUAGUGGUGUAGAGAGUGGCGAACGGGUGAGUAACACGUAGAUGAUCUACCUUUGGGACGGGGAUAGUCCAUGGAAACAUGGGGUAAUACCGGAUGAGGCCUUGUGGGGUGAUGCCUGUGGGGUGAAAGGCGGCAACAGUCGUGCCUGGAGAUGGGUCUGCGGUCCAUUAGUUAGUUGGUGGGGUAAGAGCCCACCAAGGCGACGAUGGAUAGCCGACCUGAGAGGGUGGACGGCCACACUGGGACUGAGACACGGCCCAGACUCCUACGGGAGGCAGCAGCUAAGAAUCUUCCGCAAUGGGGGAAACCCUGACGGAGCGACGCCGCGUGGACGAAGAAGGCCGGAAGGUUGUAAAGUCCUUUUCUUUGUGAGGAAUGAGGUAGGGAGUGGAAAGCUCUACUGAUGACGCUAACGAAGGAAUAAGCACCGGCUAAUUACGUGCCAGCAGCCGCGGUAAUACGUAAGGUGCGAGCGUUGUUCGGAAUUAUUGGGCGUAAAGGGCGUGUAGGCGGCCUAUUGGGUCUGGUUUGAAAGGCUCCGGCUCAACUGGAGCACUGGGUCAGAAACUGAUAGGCUAGAGUUCAUGGGGAGGAGCUGGAAUUCCUGGUGUAGGGGUGAAAUCUGUAGAUAUCAGGAAGAACACCGGUAGCGAAGGCGAGCUUCUAUGAAUGGACUGACGCUGAGGCGCGAAAGCGUGGGGAGCGAACAGGAUUAGAUACCCUGGUAGUCCACGCUGUAAACGAUGUGCACUAGGUAUGGGGUGCGAGAAGUGCUCCGUGCCGUAGCAAACGCGAUAAGUGCACCGCCUGGGGAGUAUGCUCGCAAGGGUGAAACUCAAAGGAAUUGACGGGCCCCCGCACAAGCGGUGGAGCAUGUGGUUCAAUUCGAUGCUACGCGAGGAACCUUACCAGGGCUUGACAUGUGCAUGGAUGUUGUAGAGAUACGGCAGUCCGCUAUGCGGACGUGCACACAGGUGCUGCAUGGCUGUCGUCAGCUCGUGUCGUGAGAUGUUGGGUUAAGUCCCGCAACGAGCGCAACCCUUACCGUCUGUUGCCAUCGGGUUAUGCCGGGCACUCUGGCGGAACUGCCGGUGACAAACCGGAGGAAGGUGGGGACGACGUCAAGUCAUCAUGGCCCUUAUGUCCUGGGCUACACACGUGCUACAAUGGCCGGUACAACGCGAAGCGAAACGGCGACGUGGAGCGAAUCGCUAAAAGCCGGUCCCAGUUCGGAUUGGAGUCUGAAACCCGACUCCAUGAAGGUGGAAUCGCUAGUAAUCGCGCAUCAUCAUGGCGCGGUGAAUACGUUCCCGGGGGUUGUACACACCGCCCGUCACACCACCCGAGUUGGGGGUACCCGAAGU